GGGAUUAUAGUAUAGUGGUCAGUAUACUUCAUUGUGGUUAUUUGAUUUGCAGCCCUGAAAUGACGCAGGUUCGAUUCCUACCAGGGUUU